GAUGAACGCUGGCGGCGCGCCUAACACAUGCAAGUCGAACGAUUAAAGCACCUUCGGGUGUGUAUAAAGUGGCGAACGGCUGAGUAACACGUGGGCAACCUGCCCCUUUCAUUGGGAUAGCCACGGGAAACCGUGGAUAAUACCGAAUACUUCGAGACUUCCGCAUGGAAGACUCGAGAAAGCUCCGGCGGAGAGGGAUGGGCCCGCGGCCUGUUAGCUUGUUGGUGGGGUAACGGCCUACCAAGGCAAUGAUGGGUAGCUGGGUUGAGAGACCGACCAGCCAGAUUGGGACUGAGACACGGCCCAGACUCCUACGGGAGGCAGCAGUGGGGAAUAUUGCACAAUGGGCGAAAGCCUGAUGCAGCGACGCCGCGUGCGGGAUGAAGGCCUUCGGGUUGUAAACCGCUUUCAGCAGGGACGAGGCGAAAGUGACGGUACCUGCAGAAGAAGCACCGGCUAACUACGUG
rnacentral:rRNA from 1 species